UCCAUGCGCGAUUCCGAUUUAGGUCAUCGGAAAUCACUAACCUCCGAUUGGCACCGUUACUAUUCUUCGAUCAAUCUUCGCACACCGAUUCAAAAUGAAGCCGAAGAAGAAAAAUGAAGCAGAAGAUGAAGAACAAUCAACACAAAUCGCACCAGAUAUGCUAUUCGUACCUCUGGAUUCACUGUCCGCACCAAAUAUCCAAUGAGAUCUCCAAACAGGUUCAGAUUAAC
rnacentral:lncRNA from 1 species